rnacentral:rRNA from 1 species
AGGAUGAACGCUGGCGGCGUGCCUAAGACAUGCAAGUCGAAUGUCCGCAAGGACAUGGCGAACGGGUGAGUAAUACCUAGGAACGUAUCUUUAGUUGAGGAUAUCCCAUCGAAAGAUGGUGCAAUACUCAAUGUGAUCGCAAGAUUAAAGUCGCAAGACGCUAAAGAAGCGGCCUGGGCACCAUCAGCUAGUUGGUAGGGUAAAAGCCUACCAAGGCUAUGACGGUUAGGGGUCCCGAGAGGGAAACCCCCACACUGGAACUGCGACACGGUCCAGACUCCUACGGGAGGCAGCAGUUUGGAAUUUUGCACAAUGGGCGAAAGCCUGAUGCAGCGACGCCGCGUGGACGAUGAAGGCCUUCGGGUCGUAAAGUCCUUUUGCUCGGGAACAAUUUUGAGCGUACCGAGAGAAUAAGAGGUUGCUAACUCUGUGCCAGCAGCCGC